rnacentral:miRNA from 1 species
AAGGCGAGAUAUUAUUAAAGGUA